CCCGCCAAGUCCGAGCGGCCGCGCCAGCGCUCCCCCCAUGACGCGGGGACCCGGGGACCCCGGAGCAUCUCGGGGAGAUGGGCUGACACACGCGAUCAGCCCUUCAGCAUCUCCACCGACGAUCAAUUAGAUGUGUCACGGCCGCCGGGGUUCCCAGGGAAGGGGAGCUGGGCCCCCCCGGGAGUACGGGGAGGAGACGGCCCUGACGCCCGGGGCACGCAGCCAAACCGGGAGGCCGAGGGACCACGCGGGGCGCACAGGGCCUGGCCGCCAGCGUGGGGCUUGGACGGGGCUACCCGGGGUCAAGGGCGUCUGAGGAGCGGGGGCCCAGCUCCCCCCUUCGUGCUCCAGAGGCAGCCAGGCCGCGCUCCCUUCCCCGAGGGGCCUGGGGCACACGCGCCCACGCGGAGGCGGCACAUGAGGGCGAACUCCCCCAGCACGGGUGGCAGCUGGAGCUGCUCGUCCCCGCAGAGCCUGGACAGUCGGCCCUGGGGGCUGGCCUGUGCCUCCGUCCCCCUGCGCCCUCAGGGCCCGGCACAGCGGGUGGGAACUGCUUCCCAGUAUGUGGCCUCCCCUGCAGCCCCCACGAAGCUGAGCCCCCGGGGCUGUCUCCGCUUUUCCUGCCCCACCAGGACGCCCCAGCCGCGGGGACAGCGCCUGGCGAGGACCAGGAGAGGACGUGCUUCUGGGCUCCGGGUCCUGGAGGCUCGGGACACAGCGCCGGGUGCCGACCCGGGACCCUGGGACAGGAGGGCAGGAGGGGCCACAGGACAGCCCCCCCGCCUGGCAGGCCUGAGACGCAGGGGGAGUGUCCGCAAGGCGCCCGCCCGCCUGGGGCGGAGACCCCCAGGGUCCCCAGGAGGAGCCCUCCCCGGAAGAGACCACGUGCGACCCCGAAUCGACCGCCCCAGGGGCUGAGCAGGGCCCAGGUGCAUCGGUUUCCUGCGGCCGCCGUAGCCAAGGGCCACACACCAAGCGGCUUCAAACAACACGGUUGUUAUCUGACAGCUGGGACCCCAGAGGCCCGACACGCUGUGGGGCGGCUCCUCCCGAGGCCACGCGGGCUCUGCUUCCAGCCUUUCCUGCCUGUGGGGUCUCGCGGCCACGUCUCCCCUCGCACCCUCUGCGGCCCCAGUGCCCUCUUGCCCUCUCUUGAGGACCCCGUGACCGUGGGAGGGCAACCCCGGGGGUCCCCGGUGUCCAGGCCCGGGGAGGGGGGCACCUGUAGGGUGCACUUUCCUGUCUACCGCCUGGUGGGACAAGCGCACCUUCUGCNCUGAGGCCCCCGUGACCGUGGGAGGGCAACCCCGGGGGUCCCCGGUGUCCAGGCCCGGGAGGGGGGCUCCUGUAGGGUGCACUUUCCUGUCUACCGCCUGGUGGGACAAGCGCACCUUCUGCGGGGGUGGCCUCUCCACCCCGAUGUCUGUUCCACAGGUCGCGGCCCCGAGCUGCUGAGAUGCUCACGCUUCCCGGGGUGGGGCAUAAACCCCAACACUGACCUCUCCGUGUGACCCCAUCACGCGGGAAGCCCCUCCUCUGCCACAUGCCCCAGUCCACGGAGGGCGGGGACCGCCCUCGGCCACGCUGUGGAUGCCAGCCCCGUUCCUUUAGGUUCUCUAGUGUUUAGGCAUAAAGUAAAUUUCACCAUCACUUCAAGCUCGUAAAGAAGACCUCUUGGGGUUGUCCUCACGGCGAAGGGGCCUCUGGCCUGCUGCCCCUCCGUUGGGAAAAGUGGGGCCUGACCCUGGGACGGCUGCCCCCGCAGGGACCUCCCAACCCCCACGUGGA
ensembl:lncRNA